rnacentral:rRNA from 2 species
GAUGAACGCUAGCGGCGCGCUUGAUCCAUGCAAGUCGAACGGACCCCAGUUCUUCGGGACGGGGGUUAGUGGCGAACGGGUGAGUAACACGUUGGUGACCUACCCUUGAGUGGGGGAUAACUAUCCGAAAGGAUGGCUAAUCCCGCAUGAGCUCCGGCAUUCGGUUGUUGGAGGAAAGGCUCAUAUGAGUCGCUCGAGGAGGGGCCAGCGGCGGAUUAGCUAGUUGGUGGGGUAAAGGCCUACCAAGGCGAUGAUCCGUAGGGGGCGUGAGAGCGUGGUCCCCCACACUGGCACUGAGACACGGGCCAGACUCCUACGGGAGGCAGCAGGAAGGAAUCUUGCGCAAUGGGCGAAAGCCAGACGCAGCGACGCCGCGUGGACGAUGAAGGCCUUCGGGUUGUAAAGUCCUUUUCCGAGGGAAGAGAAGGGACGGUACCUCGGGAAUAAGCCUCGGCUAACUACGUG